rnacentral:sRNA from 1 species
UUCCGUAGGUGAACCUGCGGAAGGAUCAUUACCGAGUGCGGGUCCUUUGGGCCCAACCUCCCAUCCGUGUCUAUUGUACCCUGUUGCUUCGGCGGGCCCGCCGCUUGUCGGCCGCCGGGGGGGCGCCUCUGCCCCCCGGGCCCGUGCCCGCCGGAGACCCCAACACGAACACUGUCUGAAAGCGUGCAGUCUGAGUUGAUUGAAUGCAAUCAGUUAAAACUUUCAACAAUGGAUCUCUUGGUUCCGGCAUCGAUGAAGAACGCAGCGAAAUGCGAUAACUAAUGUGAAUUGCAGAAUUCAGUGAAUCAUCGAGUCUUUGAACGCACAUUGCGCCCCCUGGUAUUCCGGGGGGCAUGCCUGUCCGAGCGUCAUUGCUGCCCUCAAGCCCGGCUUGUGUGUUGGGUCGCCGUCCCCCUCUCCGGGGGGACGGGCCCGAAAGGCAGCGGCGGCACCGCGUCCGAUCCUCGAGCGUAUGGGGCUUUGUCACAUGCUCUGUAGGAUUGGCCGGCGCCUGCCGACGUUUUCCAACCAUUCUUUCCAGGUUGACCUCGGAUCAGGUAGGGAUACCCGCUGAACUUAAGCAUAUCAAUAAGCGGAGGA